ensembl:lncRNA
GGAAGCACCUGAGGCUGAGGCUUCUGCCGCUGUGGAAGCACCUGAGGCUGAGGCUUCUGCCGCUGUGGAAGCACCUGAGGCUGAGGCUUCUGCCGAGGAGGGACCAAUAGUAGAGGAAAUUUCCCCAGAAGAGGCUGCCCCAGUCGAAGAGGCAGCGCCAGUUGAGGCAGAGUUACAUGCAGCCGAAGAGGUAGCAGUAGUAGUGGAGGAAGCCCCAGUGGAGGAAGCCCCAGUGGAGAAAGCCCCAGUGGAAGAACCAGCAGCAGAGGAACCAGCAGCAGAGGAACCAGCAGCAGAGGAACCAGCAGCAGAGGAACCAGCAGCAGAGGAACCAGCAGCAGAGGAACCAGCAGCAGAGGAACCACCGGCGGCAAAGGAGGCUGUGGCGACAGCCCAAGUGUCUGAGGAUGAGGCGCUCGUCGUGGAGGCGGUGAUGCUGGCAGCAGCCUCAGCCCUGGAUGUCGAGGCAGAGGCAGCCCCGGCUGAGGAAGUCAAGGAGGCCCUCUUCACUUCAUGCCACCAAUGUGAAGCCCCAGCUUCUGAGGCUGAUGUGGCAGUCACCCCCAUGGAGGUUGUAGAGGCUGCAUCUGUGGGGGAAGUAGAGGCUCCCCCUGCUGGUGUGGAGGAGGCAGUCGUCGAGGGUGAGGCAGUGGAGGUGACCGCAGAGGAGCGCGCCUCCGAUUGGCCUGCUGAGGUGACCGAGGCAGUGGAGGAAGCCAAGGUGGAAGGAGAGACUGCCAGGCCAGUAAAGAGGUCCUGCUCAGUGAUGUGAUAGUACAGAAGGUGCACAGAGUAUGAGCCUGAUGUUGCUGACAGCCCAGUCCUGACUGGAGACCAGCGAGAUGUGCCUUCUGGAACAGUCAGCACCCACAGCUGUCAAUCAAACAGGACGAUCAACAUAAAACACACACAGAAUUAGAACUGGUUUGAAUUGAAUUCUAUAAUUCUAUUUAACUCAUUAUAUAUUUAAAUGUUGUCUAAUGACAACAGUUGUCAACCCGGUAACUACAUUCCCGGUUCUCACUCAGUUUCUUGGUCUUGUAUUAUCCCUACCCAUGGUGAGGUGACACUUCUGUAAGGGUUUGAAGUCUGACUUUAUUCCUAGGCUCAGACCCAAAUGACACCUUAUACCCUAUAUAGUGCACUACUUUUGACCAGGGCCUGGGGGAAUAGGGUGCCAUUUGGGAUGGAUUUCAACUAUUUAUCAGUACCACCCUGUUCCCCAAGGUGGCACUGUUACCAAGCUGACGAAGACCACUUGAAUGUAUUUGAAGUUACUUGAUAAAUUAUUGUGUACUUGACAUUGCCUAAUGAAUUCUGACUAUUUUUUUUUUGAUUCAAUGAAAUAAGAUCUGAAUUGUUGUAUUAAACAGUAGGCCAUUAGACAACAUGUAGAUGGUUGUGUUCUUCAGAGACUGUUGAGUUAGUUCUGCAUGGAGUUUUUUUUAUUCAAUCAGGGAACAUCUAGAUUAAGUUUAGUUCUCAAGCCAGUAGACUGUUGGUAGACAGUGUUGUACCCAUGUGAUGUAAAAAAUAAAAUGUUAUUUUUUUCAGUCCAAUAAUAAUUUAUGUAAUAGCUUUGCAGGUGGGGUGGGGUGGUUGUGUGUGACACAGUAUGGAAAGACUAGUUGUCCAAACUAUCCUAUGGUUAUAUAUUCAUGUUGCUUGUGUAUAUUUUGUAUAGAAAGACUAGUUUGAAGAUCCAAACUAACAAUAUCCUGUCACUAUAGCCAUGUGUAUAUUUUGUAUAGAAAGACUAGUUUGAAGAUCCAAACUAACAAUAUCCUGUCACUAUAGCCAUGUGUAUAUUUUGUAUAGAAAGACUAGUUUGAAGAUCCAAACUAACAAUAUCCUGUCACUUAUUUAAGUCAUUAUGUAAGUGCUAAAACAGUUACUAUGAUGUCAUACUCAGAAACGUGUCAUAUGUUGUAUUUCUAAAUGAAAUGGAGCGUUACGCUUAUUCAGAACGGACAAGUGGACUGUCCACUUUUGACUUUGAACUUCAUUGACAUGAUUCCAUAUGUAAUUAUGAGAUUCAAUUUGGAGAGCCCUUUUUUUUAAUGGAUGAAAUGAUCAAUUCAAUAAUUUUUUAUUAUGUAUAGUAUCUGUUAUUGUGAAGACAAAUUCUUUGUAAAUAAAUCAAGGUGAUUUAAACUGUU